UACGUAGGGGGCAAGCGUUGUCCGGAUUUAUUGGGCGUAAAGAGCGUGUAGGCGGCCAUACAGGUCCGUUGUGAAAACUCGAGGCUUAACCUCGAGACGUCGAUGGAAACCGUAUGACUAGAGUCCGGAAGAGGAGAGUGGAAUUCCUGGUGUAGCGGUGAAAUGCGCAGAUAUCAGGAAGAACACCCGUGGCUAAGGCGGCUCUCUAGUACGGUACUGACGCUGAGACGCGAAAGCGUGGGGAGCGAACAGG
rnacentral:rRNA from 1 species